UCAUGUGAGUAAAUGUGCAUGCAUACUAUAUUAUGCUAUAUCAAUAAUCACUUGGAAAUUAUAAUUUAAGGGGGAGAUCAUGAUGGAAAAACCAAUUGGUAAAAAAAAAUACUUUUAACACAAGAGGUUCUCUUUUUUAAAAAAUGUAUCUGACUGUGGUUUUAUUGCCACCUAACAAACUACUCCCAAAUUUACUGACUUCAAACAACUUUUUUGUUCUGAGUCUGAGGGUUGGUUGGUACUCGGCAGGAGGUGUUGUGCUGGGGAUCAUACAUACUGUUGUGGUGAUCAUCCUGAUGGGGCAGGAAUAUUCAAGAUGGUUACAUCACAUGUCUGAAACCUUGGUGAGUUCAGCGGGAAGGCUGGAAAUUUCUCUUUCUCUCUCUCUCUCUGACUCUCUCUCUCUGUUACUUUCUAUGUAUAACUAACUUGGAUUUCUUAACAUGAUGAAAAGGCCUUCAAAUGCACACAUUUGUCAAUCCUCUGCUUGCAUCGUGAUUGCUACUUCAUCAUCGGCCAUAGACAGUGUUGGCAGGGCCUAGACAAAAGUGUGAAUAUGAAAGGCAUAAUUUUUGGAGGGGGACCACCAAAUGGUUCUUUUUGCUCAUCUUUCAAUGGUAUCACUCUAUUCUGUAAUUGCUAGUUUAUUAUCAGUCUUUAAGUGCCAGGGGUUAAAUUGGAUCUAAGUAUCCUCAGUGGCCAGCAUAUUACCUGGUCAGCCCAGGAAUAUGCACUGGAUGAAUGAACAAAGUAAUGGAUAUGUUGAGUAGCAUACUCCAAUCAUUGCUGGGAGAUAUCUCUAAUUCCUACACUGCCUCCUUUCUGAGCCAGGUGUAAGGUGUCAACAUAUACAGAAAGAAGUGCCUUCAGCUAAGCUCUGUCUGCAUUUGCCAUAGCUUUACAAGUCUCUGCAUCAUAUCUCAACUCACUGCUUUUAGUGGAUAUUUGAAUCUUGCAAGCUGGAUGGUACAGGGUGGUUUUGCAUUGAAAUUUUGUAUUCAUAUGAGUUAAGAAAAGAAGACUAACAUGAACCCCAGACUUCAUAGACAAGCAUGAGUUUGUACAAACAUGAGGAAAGCAUAGGGAAGGUGGUGGAUCCCAGAAUGAGGUAGGCUGGGAGGACCAACCACACUGGAGCAGAUGCAAUGUGACCACCACAAGAAGGUGAAAUUGUUUCUGACAAGAUGUGAUUGUGGGCUGGGGUUGUAGCUCGGUGGUAGAGCACUUUCCUCCGUCGUGUGAAGCCCUGGGUUCAAUUCUCAGCACCACACAAAAAAUAUUAAGUAAAUAAAAAAAGAAAGAUAUUGUGUCCAUCUACAACUAAAAAAAUAAAAAAUAAAUAAAAAG
rnacentral:lncRNA from 1 species